rnacentral:rRNA from 1 species
GACGAACGCUGGCGGCGCGCCUAACACAUGCAAGUCGAACGGAGUCACGAGGAGCUUGCUUUUCUUGACUUAGUGGCGAACGGGUGAGUAACGCGUGAGUAACCUGCCCUGGAGUGGGGGACAACAGUUGGAAACGACUGCUAAUACCGCAUAAGCCCACGGAUCCGCAUGGAUCUGCGGGAAAAGGAUUUAUUCGCUUCAGGAUGGACUCGCGUCCAAUUAGCUAGUUGGUGAGGUAACGGCCCACCAAGGCGACGAUUGGUAGCCGGACUGGGAGGGUGAACGGCCAGAUUGGGACGGGGACACGGCCCAGACGCGUGGGGGGGGGGGGGGGGGGGGAAAUUGCACAGGGGGGGAAACCCUGAUGCGGCGACGCCGGGUGGAGGAAGAAGGGUUUGGAAAUGUAAACCCCUGGCGUUGGGGAGGAAAAGGGCGGUACCGAAAAAGAAAGCCCCGGCAAACUACGG